AUUGAACGCUAGCGGCAUGCCUAACACAUGCAAGUCGAACGGCAGCACGGUGCGUAGCAAUACGCAUGGGUGGCGAGUGGCGGACGGGUGAGUAACGCGUAGGAAUUUUCCUUAAAGUGGGGGAUAACCCGAGGAAACUCGGGCCAAUACCGCAUAAUCUCUACGGAGCAAAGAGGGGGAUCGUAAGACCUCUCGCUUCACGAUACGCAUGCGUCGGAUUAGCUUGUUGGUAGGGUAAAGGCCUACCAAGGCGAUGAUUCGUAGCUGGUCUGAGAGGACGACCAGCCACACUGGGACUGAGACACGGCCCAGACUCCUACGGGAGGCAGCAGUGGGGAAUAUUGGACAAUGGGGGCAACCCUGAUCCAGCAAUGCCGCGUGUGUGAAGAAGUCCUUCGGGUUGUAAAGCACUUUUAGUGGGGAAGAAAAAGUUAGAGUUAAUACCUCUAUCGUUGACGUUACCCACAGAAGAAGCACUGGCUAACUCUGUGCCAGCCGCCGCAGUAA
rnacentral:rRNA from 1 species